UACAAAGUGAGUGUGCACAGUACUUUUUCAACAAAGCUGGACUCCAUGAUCAUUAAAGAUGAGUAAGUGAACAUAUAAAUAUACAGAAACACACACACAAGAGUUUACAUAUCCACACACACUUGCACAUAUAAGCACCCAACUCACAAACACACACAUAAGCACUUACCCCCAUACAUACAGAAAACAUGGGCACGCAUACAUACAUACUUACCCACACAUGGUCACAUACACACAUACAAAGGAAUGGUAUUGUACAAGCAAUAGACAAUAUUCACAUACAGACAAUCACAGGGAGUUACACACACACACACACACACACACACACACACACACACACACACACACACCCUGAACCAGAAUGGCCAGUGAGAAGAACGCUGACUUGCAGCACAUUUUCUGCUGCAGGGGGAAGUAGUGUGUCCUCUAUGCUGUCUGUCAGACUGAGCCAGGCUCUGCUACCCCAGCCUGCACUUACAUUUACUUUCAUGAACUUAAUCUAUCCCAACACUCCCUGAUUCCACAGGUUCCAAGUUGAUCUAUCACAUUUCUUCACUAAACCUACCCUAGCUCCUCCAAGAAGACCUUGAUAACUCAAGUGAAAGAAAGUGACCCAUGGUCAACACCAGGAAAUUUUCAACAGAUGACAGUGCAUAUGAUAUGAAUUCAGCCCAAUGUCAGUCAGGAGGCCAGUGACAUCACCUGCAGUGCUUUUCAGGAAUGCAGCACUCUGCACAACUAUGAGAGGGAAUCUGUUCUGAGACACAGCCAUGCACAGGAUAUAGUCAGCAACACAAUGUCAGCAAGGAGAUGUUUAUUUUUAAAAUAGUUGUUUUGUUUGUUUUUUGUAACUUAUUAGAAAAUACAUUAAUAUAAGCACAAUAAAAGUAAAUAAACAAAAGAGAAAGCUACUCCAUCCUUCCGCUUUCUGAGCAAUUGAAACUUGUAACAAUUGGAUGAGACAAAACAAGACAGAAGGUCUACCUUGGAGAACAGGAGAUCCAAAGAGUGCUGGACAGCCAGAUUAGCCCAAACAGAAAAUGUCAGGUUCAGUGAAAACCUGGGCUCUAAGGGAAUAAGGGAGUGGGCCACAGAUGAUAACAUGAGAUUUUAUUAUGUAGCCUCUGAACACAUCCACCAAUGUACACAUUUACACAGGCCUGCAUAGAUCAUACACAGACCACAGAAAUCAGAAGUGAGAAAAAAACAUGAAGAGGACAUCAUGCUGAAUAAACAGUCGAAUUUAGAAUAUGCACAUCAGGUAUUUCAACUGAGACCCACAACACUACUAUCCAUCCCUUGGGACUAAAAAUUCCUAGAAGAGAACACAGCUUAGUCAGAUUAUGUUGAGGUGAUUGAACAAAAUAUUCUCUUGAAGCUUCAAAUCUGUCACUCCAACCCUCAGCCUGUCAAAGUCCUCCCACAUGUAUGGUCAUCCAGUCAGCUCCAGACUGGAAGAUCCAGGAUGGGAGAACUGUCCAGCACCAUGCCCAGAAAAAGGGCUAACAAGGUGCUACUCAGGCUUCUGUCACUUUGAACCAAGAGCUUGGCAAAAGGAAGAGAGCACACUGGGAGGCAGGAAGAAAGAAGACCACAUUCCACCCAAAACGUUGACAAUGAGAACCACUCACUUGGCACUGGCACUGGGCUCUAGUCCUUGAAGGCUGCUUCCUCCCUGUGAUCUCACAUGACCCCUGCAAAGCAAAUGAGCCACAGGCCACUGACAUUAUCAAUAAAAGCUUUGUGCUGUUCCCUAAGUAACUCCCUACAUAGCAGCCCUCUGAUCAUAAUGACAUGUAGGUGUGUGGUAUGUGACUGACCCAUCUCUAUCAAUGUACUGCAGCUUCUAGCAGAGCAGGAGGGUUUGCUUGUCAAUUAUUCAGUUUUUUGCAAGAUGCUAACUCUCCAGAAAGACUUGGGAAUGAUCACAGAAAACAACACUUGGAUGGUAUGUAAGUGGGAGUCUGGAUGGAUGGUUAUAUGGGUGUCUCUAUUUUUAUGGUUGGACAGGUAUUCAGCCUGUCCCCAAUGCCUCGGGCUACCAGUUGCUGAUCAGCAGAAGGCUCACAGAUCAUCUCAUGGGCCUCCUUCAAGAGACUCUUCAGAUCCUCACAGGAAUCUUGCAGUUCAAUCUGUUCCUUCCAUAGCAGUCUGUUCUUGAGUCUCAACACAUAUACAUUCUUCUUCAGCUGAGUCCAAUCUCGGAGGACCUGGUCAUGGAGGUAACUGAACAAUCACCAAAACAUUGUUAAUCUUUAAAAAUUAUCCUUCUGGGCUGGAGAGAUGGCUCAGAGGUUAAGAGCACCAACUGUUCUUCCAGAGGUCCUGAGUUCAAUUCCCAGAAACCACAUGGUGGCUCACAACCAUCUGGUGCCCUCUUCUGGCCUACAGGCAUGCAUGCAGACAGAACAUUGUAUACAUAAUAAAUAAAUCUUUAAAUAAAAAAAAAGCAAGAUGAAGCUUUGUCUCUUUAAAAAAAAAAUAUCCUUCGCCCAAUAAUAGAACAUUUAUAGUUACAUUAUUAAGUUCCACAGAAAUGGGUGAUGUAUUGUAUUCACAUUUUCUAAUUAAUUUAGCAUAACUGACCUUUUAUAUUACCUACUUAUCCACAAAACUUUAAAAACUUCCAUUCAUUUAAGUCUUUAGCAUCUUUCAGAACAUCAGCUUUGAAGGUCUUGCAUGUAUUUAGGAUUGCUCUUGGGUACUCCAUAGCACUUUUUAUUAAUAGCAUGCUUUUAAAGUGCGCUUAUAUAAAAUGUCUUGUCAUACAUUUUUAAGCCUUUUGUGAGUGGAAUUGUUUCCCUGAUUUCUUUGUCAGUAUGUUUGUGAUUGGUGUACAGGAAGGCCACUGACUUUUGUGUGUUUAUUUUACAAUCUUUCACUUUUAUGAAUCUAUUUGUCAGGCUUAAGGGACUUCUGAUAAAUUUUUAGUUUUAUUUGUUUAGAAUCAUAUCAUCUGCAAAUAAGGACAUUUUGACAUCCCCUUUCCAUUUGUAUCCCCUUUAUCUCCUUCAGUUGUCUUAUUGCUCUUGCUAAGAGUUCAAGUACUAUAUUGAAUAGGAGUGGAAGGAGUGAAUAUCCUUUUCUUCUUCCUGCUUUUCUGGAACUGCUUUGAGUUUUUCCUCUAUUCAGCAUGAUGCUGCUGUGGGCUUGUUGUACAAUGACUUUAUUAGGUUGAAAUAUAUCCUCUAUAUUCCUAUCCCUAGAUUCUCCAGAACAUCUCUCAUUGAUGAAAGCUGGAUUUUUACAAAGGCUUUUUUUGCUCAUAUACACACAUGUUCAUGUUGGGUUUUCCUUUAUUCAUUUCAUGUGGUGGAAUAAAUAUGUUGAUUUGUGUAUGUUGAAUUAUCCUUGCAUGUUUGAGGUGAAGACAACUUGACCAUGGUGGAUGAUUUUUUUUAUGUGACCCUGAACUUGAUUUUCAAGUAUUUUAUUGAGAAUUUGUGUGUAUAUGUUCAUCAGGGUAAUAGGCCUAUAAUUCUAUCUAUCUAUCCAUCUAUCUACUAUCUAUCUAUCUAUCUACCUACAUACCUAUCUGUCUCCCUCUCUCGAAACCAGGAUAUCCCUGGCUUAAAAAAAAGAAUUUGGAUGAGCUCUUUCUUUUUCUAUUUUAUGGAAUAGUCUGAGGAGUGUUAGUUGUUCUUUAAAUGUCUGUUCAAAUUUGACACUGAAUUUGUCCUGUUCUGGCCUUCUUUUAGUUGGGAAAUUUUUUAUUACUGCUUCUACACCAUUAGACUAUUUAAACUUUUCAUGUUAUCUUGACAUAAUUUUGGUGGAUCACAGACAUCUGAAAAUUCACCAGUUCUUUAAAAAGAUUUUCCAGUUUGGUGGAAUAUAAACUUUUAAAGGAUUAAAUUCCCUCCAUGUCUCCUCUUUCCUCCUUUGUUUUAUUAUUUUCAUCCUCAUCUUCCUUUUGGUUAAUUCGGGUAAAAAUGUGCUCAUCUCGUUAAUGUUUUCAAAGAACCCACUCUUUGUUUCACUGUAUCUUUAUGUUUUUGUUUUUAUUUCACUGAUUUCAGUCAUAUUUAAAGGGACAUCUGUAUCACACCCUUUCCACAAGGCUCAAAGACCACCAUGGAAGAUGAGGCAGGAAGACUAUAGGAGCCAGAGGUCAGGGAGGAUUAGAGCAAACAGUGUCUUCUGGCCAUGACAGGACCACUGCACUCAUGACUCAGAGCUGCUGUGGUCAUUGUCCAAUAUCAAGCUGGUCAACAUUGAAGCAUGGAGUGGGAAGGGUCCUUGAGCCCCUACUCCUAACUGAUGAGCUUUGGACCAUUAAUGGCUUCUGACAAAUGGAGGGUCAGUUUUCUUUAAGAGUCUGCCCCUGGGGUUAUUAAAAAUUAAUGUAAUGAAGAAGAUAUAAAUUGGUCAUCAUAGAUGUAGGGGCAGACUUGGGAUGACAAAAUGGGAGGAAUUGGGUGGUGAAUAUUUUCAAAAUGUAUUUUAUGCAUUUCUCAAAGAACAAGUAAAGUAUAUUGAAGUAUAUUCAUUAAAUUAUUAUUGUAAAAAUUAUUAUUAUAUAAGGAUAUUUUAUUAAAUAACAUUAAUGAAUUCUGUUAA